GUCCCAGUGGCCGAGUGGUUAAGGCGUUGCCCUGCUAAGGCAGUGGGUUUUGCCCGCGCAGGUUCGAAUCCUGUCUGUGACG
rnacentral:tRNA from 6 species